UACGUAGGGGGCAGCGUGUCGGAUUCGAUUGGUGCGUAAAGAGCGUGUAGGCGGCCAGACAGGUCCGUUGUGAAAACUGGAGGCUCAACCUCCAGACGUCGAUGGAAACCGUCUGGCUAGAGUCCGGAAGAGGAGAGUGGAAUUCCUGGUGUAGCGGUGAAAUGCGUAGAUAUCUGGAGGAACACCGGUGGCGAAGGCGGCAUCCUGGACCGGCAUUGACGCUAAAGCGCGAAAGCCAGGGGAGCAAACGGG
rnacentral:rRNA from 1 species